UGGCUGUGAAGUAAAAUAAACAACAGAAGACAAAACCAACCUGUGGCCUGUGGAAGGUUCAGAGUCUAAAUUGACUGUGGUUUUAUUUUUAUUUGUUGACUCAGGCUUUAUGACACCAGAGUUCUCCAGCUUGAAGGUUCUAUGACUCUGGGCCCCUUGGAGAUCUGAAGUUUUGUGGCUAAGGCCCUUGAUGUUUAUUUACAGUCCCGUUGUCCCAUGUUCAACGUUUCUAGUACUCUGUGAUUUCAGGUCUUCAUGGCUCCUGAUGUGCAAGGUUCCAGGACCUUUGGGUAGGCCUUGGCCUAUAAGAUCCAAGAGUGAUGGGAGGUAGAGUCUCUGGUCCCAGAGGACCACUGUUCCAGCACUCUCUGCUUUCUGAGCCUUCUAAAACAAGCUACAAAAGGUGGGAGGCCUCUGGGGGCAAAGUAAUGAAUAAAAUAGUCCUCGCAAAUCUUGACAAAAAGAAGUGAAACCAACAGGAACCAUGAGAGACGGUCUAAAUCAGGCUGUCAGCCCAGGGCCUGCCCCAGAGCUGUGGAGUGAAUGAGACUGGCUUGUGGCCCAAGGCUCCAAGGAUCAGGAUCUCUGUAAUAUGUGAGUUCCUGUCCAUGAGAGCUGACUUGCACAGUCUUGAGAGCCCCUGGGGACAUUUUGCCUGGGCUCCAGGAACUGUACUCUCUGAUCACAAGGCUGGACAUACUACCUCCUCCUCUCUCAGGGGGGAAGAAGGCUAAGGAAGGAUAUCUUACUCUUUCCCUCCACUCCAGCCUUUGAGUUAAUUCACAAGUGCAUGUGCAGGCUCUGUCUCCACUUUCUCCUGGCACUCUACAGCAGGUCUCCAAAGCCUGAGUCGUCCACCCUGCAACUGCCCAAGCCCACGGCAGAGCCCAGCUGCCCUGCUAUUCCUCCCAUAACCUGGGAAAAACAGAUGAACAACUUGCAGAAGCUGGAUUACCGGCCAGUCCUGUCUGACUCCAGAGCCCAUGUUCCUUCCAUUCCUCCCAGCUCCCUCACCUGCACAUCUCCAAUGACAUCCUCCAUGACUACAUCGUACUGGACCACAAAGUGAGCCAUGAUACCUGAGCUGGAGAAGGCAGACUGGUCUUGCAGUGUUGGGCAGAAGUCUUAAUUUUUCAGGGAAAGAGAGGAUUUGCAAUAAUGCCAUCAACUCCACACCACCUGGUUACUCCCCGACUGCCCGACUGGGACCCUUCCCGGGCGUUCUGCCCCACCAGCCAGUGAGGACAAGAAUUCUUCUGCUGUCCAGCUCUGGAACACCUGGACCUGCCCUGGCAAGGGACUUGCUCACAGAGCCUGACCAAGCACGAAGCAUUGACCAGGAGCCCUGGGACCCCCGGGCCUUGCAAGGGCUUCAUAGUGCCCACCAGGCCUGCACUGGCGCAUCCAGUCCCCUACCCAAGCAUGAGUGCAUCUUCCCAGACAUUUUGCCACCCACUUGCCCCACCACACUCCUCAGCCUCUACUGCGGUGACCCCGUAAAUGUCAAAAGAUACACCUGCAUGAGGUAUGGCCAAAGUGGUGCUAGGGCAGCCUUUGAGAACAUGAUUUUUACUAGUAUUGACAAAAGAAAAGCAAGGGGGUAGGGUUCCCCAGAAACAAUGAAACAACACCCCCCCCCAUCUGCUCCUCACAUCUCCUCAGUGUUCUCACGUGAGAAGACACUAAGAAAGCUAAAACUUCCUGCCCCUUCUUGGCAAGUGAAGAGGAUCUUCCAGAACUUCAUGAGUGUAGCUGCAAAACUAGCAGGACUCCAGGAGUAGGACCUUUCAACCCUGUUUUCCCUCUAGAGUGGAGAAGACUCUGUGUACUUUAUUUUGUAAGAUAAAAUAUAGGUGCAAAUGAUGAAGGGCACCUCUUGCCAUAGCCCCCUUCUCAGCCCUGUGCAGGUGUCUUGUCCAGAGCCCCGGGCCUCAGUUUCUGGCACCCUUUUGCCCCAAGCAGCCAGUGCUACACCAGCCUUGGGGACAAUGGGGACAAGAUUCUGCCCACAGGAGUUUACGGUCAUGGU